CAAGUUCUAAGGUUGUCGUGUAUUAAAGUUCCAACACUAUGAUGACGUCACGGCCUCCAUUUUCCCUGUCGUCUGUGAAGGCUGCCGAGACAGCGCUGUAUUUUUCUUGUUUUUUUAGGUUAUUAUAAAGUGCCCGGAAGCGCCAUGCUGUGGGAAGACAUAAGAAGAAGAGGAGGAAGAACAAGAGGAGGAGGAGGAGGAGGAUGAAGGGGACACACAGGAAUCAAAUGGCCAAGCAGUGCAGAGGAGAAGGAGGAGGAAGAAGAAGAGGAGGAUCUACCAAGGACAACCUCUGCUGCUCCGGGUAUCAACUCCUGCACUCCUGGGACUGGCAUAACAUCUGCAUGCCCUUGUAACAACUCACUCUGCUUCUGCUAUUCAUAACACCCCGUUCUGCGUCUGCUGUCGUAACAGGGCAUGGCUUCUGUAUACUAACUCCUGCUCGCAUAACCCGCAUGGAUUUACACUUCUCUCUCUGCUUCUGGCUUUCGUACCUAUCAACACAUUCUGCGCCUUCCUUCGUAACUAAUCCCACGGCUUCUCUGCAUGACAACUCCAGCUGCUUAUGGCAAAAUUUCGCAUAACAGCUACUCCUGCUUACGUAUGACAAUUCUCUCUGGCUUCCAUAACAGCACGUAUGGCUUUUGCAUGUGAACGCAUUUCAUUUCUGCUGCACACUAACCCACACUGCUGGUAUGAGUAUCCUAACGACCUAACCCAUUCUGUAAGCUGCCGCCCAGUGCUUCAGGUGACCCCUAACAAGCCUGUCGGAUCGGCGUCUAGCGAGGGAGGUUCCGUCAGGUUCCGUUCCCUGCUAGAGCUGUCUCCCUUCACCUUAAAAAAAAUAGUUUGACAUAAUUUGAGAGCAGCAGUACAGGCCAGGUAUCAGAGAGGGGUUCAGGCCUAUAUGGGGACACCUCUGUUAGGCUUGUACCUCAAUAAAUAACUAGAAAAAAGUUGGAAAGUGUUAAACAAUGACCAUACGUAACCUAGUCAUGUGUGAAUCCUGACUAUGGAGGGAGAUUAUCCUCAAACACGUACGGUUAUAUAUAUAUACAUGUCUUUUACCCACCCAUGCGUGCAGUACGGGUGGUGAACUCUGACCUCUAUGAAAUAAAUAUACGUAACAGGAAAAAAAUAAA